rnacentral:rRNA from 1 species
UACGUAGGGUGCAAGCGUUAUCCGGAAUUAUUGGGCGUAAAGAGCUCGUAGGCGGUUUGUCGCGUCUGCUGUGAAAACUGGAGGCUCAACCUCCAGCCUGCAGUGGGUACGGGCAGACUAGAGUGCGGUAGGGGAGAUUGGAAUUCCUGGUGUAGCGGUGGAAUGCGCAGAUAUCAGGAGGAACACCGGUGGCGAAGGCGGAUCUCUGGGCCUUACCUGACGCUGAGGCGCGAAAGCUAGGGGAGCGAACAGG